UACGUAGGGUGCAAGCGUUGUCCGGAAUUAUUGGGCGUAAAGAGCUCGUAGGCGGUUUGUCGCGUCUGCUGUGAAAACCCGAGGCUCAACCUCGGACUUGCAGUGGGUACGGGCAGACUAGAGUGUGGUAGGGGAGACUGGAAUUCCUGGUGUAGCGGUGGAAUGCGCAGAUAUCAGGAGGAACACCGAUGGCGAAGGCAGGUCUCUGGGCCAUUACUGACACUGGAGAAG
rnacentral:rRNA from 1 species